UACGGAGGGGGCAAGCGUUGUUCGGAAUUACUGGGCGUAAAGGGCGCGUAGGCGGCCUUCUAAGUCGAACGUGAAAUCCCUGGGCUCAACCCAGGAACUGCGUCCGAUACUGGAAGGCUUGAAUCCGGGAGAGGGAUGCGGAAUUCCAGGUGUAGCGGUGAAAUGCGUAGAUAUCUGGAGGAACACCGGUGGCGAAGGCGGCAUCCUGGACCGGCAUUGACGCUGAGGCGCGAAAGCCAGGGGAGCAAACGGG
rnacentral:rRNA from 1 species